GCCUGGGUGGCUCAGUCGGUUGAGCAUCCGACUUCGGCUCCGGUCAUGACCUCACGGUUCGUGGGUUCGAGCCCCGCGUCAGGCU
rfam:Felis catus isolate Cinnamon breed Abyssinian chromosome B3, whole genome shotgun sequence.